CCUACGGGUGGCAGCAGUGGGGAAUAUUGCACAAUGGGCGAAACCCUGAUGCAGCGACGCCGCGUGAGUGAAGAAGUAUUUCGGUAUGUAAAGCUCUAUCAGACGGGAAGAAAAUGACUGUACCUGAUUAAGAAGCCCCGGCUAACUACGUGCCAGCAGCCGCGGUCAUACGUAGGGGGCAAGCGUUAUCCGGAUUUACUGGGGGUAAAGGGAGCGUAGAUGGCAGCACAAGUCUGGAGUGAAAUGCCGGGGCUUAACCCCGGAAGUGCUUUGGAAACUGGUCAGCUCGAGUGCAGGAGAGGGAAGUGGAAUUCCUGGUGUAGCGGUGAAAUGCGUAGAUAUUAGGAGGAACACCAGUGGCGAAGGCGGCUUACUGGACUGUAACUGACGUUGAGGCUCGAAAGCGUGGGGAGCAAACAGGAUUAGAUACCCGGGUAGUC
rnacentral:rRNA from 1 species